rnacentral:rRNA from 1 species
UACGUAGGUGGCGAGCGUUGUCCGGAUUUACUGGGCGUAAAGGGAGCGUAGGCGGACUUUUAAGUGAGAUGUGAAAUACUCGGGCUCAACUUGAGUGCUGCAUUCCAAACUGGAAGUCUAGAGUGCAGGAGAGGAGAAUGGAAUUCCUAGUGUAGCGGUGAAAUGCGUAGAGAUUAGGAAGAACACCAGUGGCGAAGGCGAUUCUCUGGACUGUAACUGACGCUGAGGCUCGAAAGCGUGGGGAGCAAACAGG